AGCAGCGUGGCUCAGUGGAAAGCGCCCGGGCUUGAGAGUCGGAGGUCAAGGGUUCGAAUCCCGGCUCUGCCA
rnacentral:tRNA from 1 species